rnacentral:lncRNA from 1 species
CGACAGGGAGAGAGAUGUGCAGUGAGCACGUGUACGCCUCUCCCACGGUGGGGGAGCUGGCGCGGCAGCCGAGCUCGGGGGCGGCUCUGAGCCUCAGUUUCCCCAGCUGUAAAAUGGAUCGGCUGUGGUUUCACCACCCCCCACCCCACCCUGCAGAGUUUCUGCCAGCCCCAAAGUCUAUGAGGGUCCAGACCAGACUAGGGGACACGGCUCCAACUGGACACUGGCAGAAAAGAUGUCCCAGUCCUGCAACCUGGACCUUCCUCCAUUCAUCAGGCCUGCACUGA